CACUCCUGCGGGAGGCAGCAGUGGGGAAUUUUGGACAAUGGGCGAAAGCCUGAUCCAGCAAUGCCGCGUGAGUGAAGAAGGCCUUCGGGUUGUAAAGCUCUUUUGUCAGGGAAGAAACGGUGAAAGCUAAUAUCUUUUGCUAAUGACGGUACCUGAAGAAUAAGCACCGGCUAACUACGUGCCAGCAGCCGCGGUAAUACGUAGGGUGCAAGCGUUAAUCGGAAUUACUGGGCGUAAAGCGUGCGCAGGCGGUUUUGUAAGUCUGAUGUGAAAUCCCCGGGCUCAACCUGGGAAUUGCAUUGGAGACUGCAAGGCUAGAAUCUGGCAGAGGGGGGUAGAAUUCCACGUGUAGUAGUGAAAUGCGUAGAUAUGUGGAGGAACACCGAUGGCGAAGGCAGCCCCCUGGGUCAAGAUUGACGCUCAUGCACGAAAGCGUGGGGAGCAAACAGGAUUAGAAACCCGAGUAGUCCCAUG
rnacentral:rRNA from 1 species